rnacentral:rRNA from 1 species
UCGAGCGGUAAGGCCCUUCGGGGUACACGAGCGGCGAACGGGUGAGUAACACGUGGGUGAUCUGCCUCGCACUUCGGGAUAAGCCUGGGAAACUGGGUCUAAUACCGGAUAUGACCUUUCAGUGCAUGCUGUUGGGUGGAAAGAUUUAUCGGUGCGAGAUGGGCCCGCGGCCUAUCAGCUUGUUGGCGGGGUAACGGCCCACCAAGGCGACGACGGGUAGCCGACCUGAGAGGGUGACCGGCCACACUGGGACUGAGACACGGCCCAGACUCCUACGGGAGGCAGCAGUGGGGAAUAUUGCACAAUGGGCGAAAGCCUGAUGCAGCGACGCCGCGUGAGGGAUGACGGCCUUCGGGUUGUAAACCUCUUUCGACAGGGACGAAGCGCAAGUGACGGUACCUGUAGAAGAAGCACCGGCCAACUACGUGCCAGCAGCCGCGGUAAUACGUAGGGUGCGAGCGUUGUCCGGAAUUACUGGGCGUAAAGAGCUUGUAGGCGGUUUGUCGCGUCGUCCGUGAAAACUUGGGGCUCAACCCCAAGCUUGCGGGCGAUACGGGCAGACUUGAGUACUUCAGGGGAGACUGGAAUUCCUGGUGUAGCGGUGAAAUGCGCAGAUAUCAGGAGGAACACCGGUGGCGAAGGCGGGUCUCUGGGAAGUAACUGACGCUGAGAAGCGAAAGCGUGGGUAGCGAACAGGAUUAGAUACCCUGGUAGUCCACGCCGUAAACGGUGGGUACUAGGUGUG